rnacentral:rRNA from 1 species
UACGAACGCUGGCGGCGUGCUUAAUACAUGCAAGUCGAACGGACAGACCCCUUUCGGGGUCCUCGAGUGGCGACCGGGUGAGUAACACGUGCGUAACCUUCCCUUGACUUCGGGAUAACUUUAGGAAACUGGGGCUAAUACCGGUUAGGAAUCCUUGAUGCAUGGUGGGGGUUGGAAAGCUUCGGAGGUUUUGGAUGUACUCGAGGCGUAUCUGCUUGUUGGUGUGGCGAUGGCUUACCAAGGCUUUGACGGGUAGCCGGCCUGAGAGGGCGACCGGCCACAUUGGGACUGAGAGACGGCCCAGACACCUACGGGAGGCAGAAGUGGGGAAGAUUGCACAAGGGGCGGAAGCCUGAUGCAGCAACGCCGCGUGCGGUAUGACGGCCUUAGGGUUGUAAACCGAAUUCAGCAGGGGCGAAGCUUGUGGUGACGGUACCUGCAGAAGAAGCACCGGCUAACUACGUG